rnacentral:rRNA from 1 species
AGAGUUUGAUUAUGGCUCAGGAUGAACGCUAGCGAUAGGCUUAACACAUGCAAGUCGAGGGGCAGCAUAAUUGUAGCAAUACAAUGGUGGCGACCGGCGCACGGGUGAGUAACACGUAUGCAACCUACCCAUAACAGGGGGAUAGCCCGUUGAAAGACGGAUUAAUACCCCAUAAGACAGGGGCACCGCCUGGUGCUAUUUGUUAAAGAUUAAUCGGUUAUGGAUGGGCCUGCGUUCCAUUAGCUAGUUGGUAAGGUAACGGCUUACCAAGGCAACGAUGGAUAGGGGAACUGAGAGGUUUAUCCCCCACACUGGUACUGAGACACGGACCAGACUCCUACGGGAGGCAGCAGUGAGGAAUAUUGGUCAAUGGGCGAGAGCCUGAACCAGCCAAGUCGCGUGAAGGACGACGGUAUUAUGUAUUGUAAACUUCUUUUAUAAGGGAAUAAAGUUAGGGACGUGUCCUUAUUUGUAUGUACCUUAUGAAUAAGCAUCGGCUAACUCCGUGCCAGCAGCCGCGGUAAUACGGAGGAUGCGAGCGUUAUCCGGAUUUAUUGGGUUUAAAGGGUGCGUAGGCGGGUUGAUAAGUCAGCGGUGAAAUCUUGGAGCUUAACUCCGAAACUGCCGUUGAAACUGUUAACCUUGAGUGUGAACGAGGUAGGCGGAAUUCGUGGUGUAGCGGUGAAAUGCAUAGAUAUCACGAAGAACUCCGAUAGCGCAGGCAGCUUACCAGAUCACAACUGACGCUGAAGCACGAAAGUGUGGGUAUCAAACAGGAUUAGAUACCCUGGUAGUCCACACAGUAAACGAUGAAUACUCACUGUUUGCGAUAUACAGCAAGCGGUCAAGCG